AGCUGCCUCUGAGCAACAGAAAGAUCAGGAAAGACAGGAUUACAUCAUGUCACUGGAGCAUAGAUAAAAGGAAAUUAAACCUGAGAUUGUGGAAACAAAAUCUCGUACAAUUUCUGUGAAAGCACAAUGGAGAACAUAUGAAGAAAAAUAUAGAGCAGAAUUGCAACUUGAAGAACGAUUGAAAUAUGAACUUGAAAAGUGUACACAUCACAGUUUUCAGACAUAUCAGAAGAGAGCAUCAGAUCUCCAUUUCAGGUGGUGGUGAGCUAGUCCCUGGUUUCUGGCAACUGAACUCAUGACCUCUGGAAGAAGAGUGAGUGCUCCUAACUAGUGACUCAUCUCUCCAGCACUCUUCUUCAUGUUAGACAAGGAACUUUGUUGACUAAUUCAGAAUGUUGUGUGGAGAUCCUGGGCUCUCUGUGUGUAAACAUGAAGAAAGGAAUGGGGCUGAAGAGCCAGGAGCCAGGGGCUGGGAGCACCCCAGGCUGUUUCUUGCCACAUGGCUUUCCGAGGAGAACGUCUAAGCCUCUGAAGAGCCCUGUGACAGCCCUGGCCUCCUCUUUGCUGAGCCUACUAUCUGGGCUUUCCAGAUCUUCUUGGACUGAUGCCUAAAACUCCCCUGCAGAGAAGCUCUCUUCGGGCUGAAACCUUACUUCAUCCCUCCAUGGAGGGUCCAAAGGAAGACCAGGACAGAGAGCCCACUCGGACUGUUCGCUCGCUGGUUUCAUAGUUGCAUCUGUCAAGGGACUCUGCUCUGAACAUCUCAGUCCGUGAGGGUGUCAGCUUAAGGGAGGGCCUUGUCACCAAAUGCAGUGUGACUGUGUUCCCUUGUUUUUUUCUUUCAAAUUUGAUACAAACUAGAGCCACUGGGAAGAGGGAGCCUCUGAUGAGGAAUUGACUGGCCUGUGGGCACGUGUGGGGACAUUUUCUUGACUGAGGAUUCGUGUGAGAGGGCCCAGACACCUGUGUGUGGUGCUGUCCCUGGGCCAUGUAAGAAAACAAUUGAGCAAACCACUAGGCAGUAUUGCCACCCAAUCUCUGCUUCAGUUCCUGCUGCCCUCUCCCCGGUUCCUGUCUUGGCUGUAACUUGUCAAAUAAACAUUUCCUUCCAAGGUUGCUCAAGGUGUUUACCACAGCAAUAGAAAAUACACUAGAUUAUAAAAUAAUUACACAACUAUACAUUGAAAAACUGAGGAUUGCCCAUAUCACUACCAAAAACAAGCAAAACAAGCACACAAACAAUCCCAAGCUAACUAGGGUAGACAAGCUCUUCAAGAUCAGUAGAUUAGGUGUGCUGUGCAUCUGGUUGUAGCAGUGUGAAGAGGUUUGGCCCUCAUGGACUCAUGUGUGUUGGGAUGCCUGGCCCACAAGGAGUGACACUAUUAGGAGGUGCAUCCUUGUUGGAGUAGGUGUGACCUUGUUGGAGGAAGUAUAUUACCAUGGGGAUGGGCUUUGAGGUCCUAUAAUCAAACUCUGCCCAGUGUUGAAGUGAGAGUCUCUUCCUGGCUGCCUUCAGGUCCAGACAUAGA